rnacentral:snRNA from 1 species
AGCUUUGCGCAGUGGCAGUAUCGUAGCCAAUGAGGUUUAUCCGAGGCGCGAUUAUUGCUAAUAGAAUUUGGUUCAGAAACCCCAGGGUAGACUGGAACACAACUUCUGAUUUCAGUAAAUAUUC